CACUUACACGCUCCCAUAUAAGGUCAAAUUUUGGAAUGUUCUGAAUUGGUUAGUACACUUGAAAUUUUCAAUUAUUUAUGAUUAUAUUCAAAUUGAAUUCACAUUCAUUAGCAGAGAAUCCUAAGAAUUGAACUUCGUAUUCUCUGGCAUUCACUGAAUUAUGAAACCAACCAAAAGAAAAAUAUUACCUACCCUUUCUUCGUGUAGUCGUAAAACCGCGUUCCUAAAGUCUAACCUGUAAUUUGGUUAAUAAUGUAUUGGUUCUUCCCCAAACCUACGGCAGGUUGAGAAAUUGGACAAAAAAAUAAACAUACUUAGACUGUUGAGAACCCAUCGAAUGUGAAGGUGAAAAGUAUGCAUACAAUCAAAGUGACACAGAGAGUGAACUGAAAAAAAAAACGAUGAAAAAUCUAUGAUUGCGAAAUUUGUAAAGAGGGGAAAAUGGUUGAGAGAGGGAGGAAACCAGGAAACAAGGUGAUUAUCUUAUAGCCCAACGAAAACAAUCGUCGGUUUCAGCGAAAAAAAGUACGAAAAUACUCUUGUGAAGGAUUUGGCUGAAGCAAAAAAGUUCUUCAAAUUCAGUUUGCAAAGCACUUUUUGAUAAAACUCAAAUGACUUAUGGAAGAGAGAAAUACUAGUUAAGUACUUUUGAAUAACGUUCCAGCACUAGUUUUCCCCCUCUUUAGUUUUUAUAAACUAAACUUUCAAGCAAAGAUGCAGCAUAGGAAAACUGUAGAUAUCCGACCUUGAAUUUUGUGAGACUCGUAGGUAGAAAAGAGAAGCCUAUUGUGUCGCCCAGCGGGCUUAAAGACUAGGAGACUCAGAGGAUUUAAAAUUAAAGGAUAGAAAAGAUAUUGAAAAUGUAGUACUCCAAAUCUUUUCAAAUUCGCACUUUGAAGCCGCGAUGAUAAAAUCUCGCAAAAUUCUUAACGUGGUCGAAAAUGACGAAAAAGCGAAUGAGAAUAAACGAACUGCAAUUAAAAUCCUAUUCGAUUUUAAUUUUUCAAUACUAUAACAAGGAUUACACUCAAAAAACACACUGCUACUACGUUCAGUAAAAUUGGUGUUGUUUUCAUGUAAGAUUGCACCUUGCUUAAAAAACCGAAGGCAUGACCCCAUGUAAGGACUUGCCCCAGGUAACGUAAUAUCGACUGAAUGCUACACCAAAUUUUAAGACGGUAAGAAGCAUUAUGAAAAUAUGACAUGCAAUCAUGAAAACCCGUAUAUAACUCACCACGGCAAAGUGCAUCUUAUAACUUCAUAGAAUUCACAG